ACGUAGCCCACGAAGGGAUCUCGCUGGGUUCUCGGAGGUGGCCCCAGAGCUUUCCGAGGGCCGAGAGCGUGGGCGUGGAGGGAAGGAGGGGCCUAGUGGGCGGCAGGCCCACCCCUUUAUUCGUGGCCUGCGGCUCCGCUGAGCGUGACCAGAUGUGUUGGUGACAGGUUGCUACUCAGAGGUGCGGACAGGAGCUGAGCGCUGCUGCUGUCGGAGCAGACGCGGCGUUCCCGGGUUGUGCUCAGCCCUUGCAGCUGCCAUAGGCUGGAGAAGUCCAGCGCACCGCCUAGGCAAGCCAGCUGACGCCGGGGGCACAGACCACCCUCCACUGAGUGCGGAGCAGCCAAGGGAACUGUUAAGAGGAGACAAGAAGAAGACCACUUCCAGUUUCCAGACAUGGCUGAUGGGGGCUACCCUAAUAAAAUUAAGAGGCCUUGCCUUGAAGAUGUCACCCUUGCUAUGGGCCCAGGCGCUCAUCCUAGUACUGCCUGUGCAGAACUGCAGGUCCCUCCAAUGACAAUGAAUCCUAGCCCUGCGGCUAUGGGAGUGGCUGGCCAGUCGUUACUGCUGGAGAAUAACCCUAUGAAUGGCAACAUCAUGGGCUCACCAUUUGUGGUACCACAGACUACAGAAGUGGGACUGAAAGGGCCCGCUGUUCCUUACUAUGAGAAAAUCAACAGCGUGCCGGCUGUAGACCAG
rnacentral:sRNA from 1 species